rnacentral:lncRNA from 1 species
UUAGACUCAAAAUAUUGCAUGACUUUGCCAAUGUUACUCCUAACUUUACUUUCCUUUUAUCCAAGCCGAUACCAUUAACCAUGACCUGGCCAUCAAGGCUGAGUUAUAUCUAUACUAUUAUUUUCUUGGCAAAUAAUGGCAUCAUUAAUCCCAUGAGACUUUUACCCACUCAUGAAGCAAUUUCAUAAGAUGAAUUACUAGUUAAACACUUCGAAGCUGCUGAAUUCAAUCCUCUGCUGUUUCUGGAUUCCAAGAAUCAUAACCAUACCAAUACAACAAAGCACAAUUUUAAGGAACCCUGGCUUUAGAAAGCAAUUACAGAUAAAUAUAAAGCCUAUAGAAAAGCUGGCUAAACCUUUAACAUCGAGGACUACCCUGUUAUUCUCCUUAGAUAUUUAGUGAACACCAAUCCACCUUGCUAAGUGAUGUUCCUUAACUACCAUCUGACUCGAGGUUUAGCAAGGACAGGAAGGCCCAUUUUUGUCCUAGGCUGACAUCAUCAUCUUUGUUUUUGUCUUAGUAAGUCAUUUUUGUUGAACAUGAUUCCAUCCUGCAAGAAAGUUUCCUUUGAACCAUCCUGGGUCUGACCAUCUUGCCGACUGGUUUGUGGUUUGUGUAGAAGAAAGUCACACCCUCAAAUUCUGAAUCUCCCAUGGUAUAAGAAUAAAAUCACUCUUAAAGACGUGAACCACAAAGGAAGGAACUAAAUAGAGAUUAAUUCAAGUUAGUCAAGGCUAUUUGUCUAAUCAUUUUCCUUCCAAGCUUCUGCUGUGUCCAUGCUCCAUUCUUACGAGUUGCAAAGCUCCUAAUGGCAGAAGCUUUGCCUCAAUAUAAGUUAUAUAACAACACAAAUUAGUUAACACAACUCUACAACUCUGCACAGUGCAGGAAAACCUGUCCUGGUUCUAAUAUUGAGAAUCAGAAAAUCACCCUCUGUCUAAUUAUUGAUUAGACAGCGUAAGCAGGAGUAUGAUAUGCAUAAUUCUUCCCAUGUAGUUGUCAAAUUCUCUUAAAAUUACAAGAGUCCACCAAGUUUACUCUUUUUCUAUACUCAAUACUCCAAUAAUAGUCUAACAAUCAUCUCAAUAACCAACUGAAUUUCAAAUUGGGGGUUCCUGAGAGGCAUGUGCUGCAUAUGGCUCCUUAGCAUUUUUGCAUGAAGUGACUGCUCUUAAGAUUCAAAUCUUCGCGUUUACGCUUGGCACCCAGAGAUGUUUACCAAUGCCUCCUAGAGGCCAGAACAAUUCACUGCCUUGACAAUAAGAAAAGGCAAUUAUUUUCAUAUACACAUAGGAUGGCAUAUCUGCAUACCAAAAACCCAAACCUCAGAUGACAUAUCCAACAAAGGUUUUAUAGGAGAAUCUAAUAUAAAACUGGCAGACUAUGCAUAGAAUGAUUUGAAUUCUGGCUAUGUAAUGUUUGUACAGAGGUGUAACAGUUUUGCACAGUGCUGCAAUCGAAACUGCUCCAGCUACUGAAUCCUACUUCAAACAGCAAUUUUAGCCCUGGAUCUCUCCACUACAAAGUCUUCAUAUUGCAGUUUUUCUUUUUUUCUUUUUUGAACUCUUUAAAGAAAUUAAAUGGUUUCCAAUUGCCAUUGGCAUGGUGAAGCCAUCUGAUGCUCAGUGUCGGGAUGAAGGCAACACAUAGAACAAAUAUGGAGGGGCCUCUACCAAAAUGGGUGACCACACCAGACCCUCAACUUCUCAUAGAACUGCAUGUCAUGCUAAGAAAUUAAUCACAUUCAGAGCAGAUCAAAUACCAUGGCCAAUUGAACAAGAAUAAGCAAAUAAAAAUAAUUAUACCUCUAAGCAAUACCUAUCAAAAAAUAAAAUAGAAUAAUAUAAUUGAAUAAACCAAUCAAAUCAUGAAUACAAGAAACCAAGAAAAGCUUGGGCAUCUGCGUGUGUGAAAGAAUGAUAGAGAGAGAGAGAGAGAGAGAGAGAGAGAGAGAGAGAUGGGAAGGGAAGAGAGACAAUAAGUAGCUUUACUAGAACAUAAUUUGGAUAUUCACUUUUGUUUAAAGGGCUGAAAGGGUGAUUCAUACCUCAGCUGAGGCCGAAGAUGAGCCCUGUUGCAUUGAUGAGCCACCACUGUUAACAGAACAUAUUUUAGUCAAACCAUAAAGAUCCAUAGAUUAUCAAGGAUUUCAACAGUAUAUACAUGGCCAAUCAAGAAUUUCAGCAUUCAGCAGAAGCUUAUAACAUUCAUUCCCAGACCUAAUCAUAGGACAAAUAUAAUCAAAUUAAACUUUAAAUUACUGUGGAAAAAAAAAAUUGUAUCCCAAUAAGAAAUCUAAAACUAUGGAAAACCUGCCUAGGGUUUCCAUAGUUGUAGUGCCUUUCUUCUUUGUCACAAAGGCUUUACUCUGACCCCAAUGUAAAACAAUCUGUGUUUGACCAAUAUAAAAACAGAUCCAGGAAAAAAAUUGACAGAUGUUAUACUUGAACCAAGCAUUGGAUGGCUAAGCUCUCUCUCCCUCCCCUUCGCUCCCUUCCUCUCUCCCUCUAUCUCUCUCUGGCCAUGACUAUGAUCUGACUGAAAAGAAGUGGCAUGUGUGAUUUAUGUUAGUGAAGAAUCUCUCUCUGGGUCAUAAACAUUAUCUAACUGAAGGGGAGUUAGGACCUUCCGAAUUAUAGCACGCUUUAACCACUAUGACCAUUUCAUCAAGGUGGAAUUAAUUAAUGGAUAAGAAUGGAAUAAAGAAAUUUUCUUUUAUGGGUAAAUAGAAAAUAUAUGAAAGUGCCAAAAAAGAGGUGAACCUUAGUAUAUGGGGUUCAGGAAGUAUAGGAUGAAUGCCCAAGCAUGGCUAAAGAAGAAAAGGAGAAGACGGGACAAAGCCAGCCAGAAGACUUCAACAAAUGCCACCUGACCAAUAAACUAAAAAAACGACAAACCCCUUUCUCAGGAGAACACCUCAACCUAAAGUAUCAUGAUUUAAGUAAUGUAUCCUUCAACUUCAAAUGUAGAAGCUCUGUCCCUUUAAAGAUCUCCCAAUUUCUUUCCUUUCAGAUGCACCAACAAAACAGGCAGUGGAGCAGUACUCUAGGCCUGCAAAAGUACCAUGCCAAGCCAAAAGGGAGCCCCUGAAGAAAUAUGACAAAACCCAACACCACAAGACAAGCAAACAAAAAAUAAAAAAAAUAUAGAGAAUGAGGAGAGAGAAUAGGACCCAAAGGUUUUAUGCCACUGCAAAAUUGUUUAAAAUGUGACUCCCAAACUCUUCUUCCUUUCUGUAUAAGCAACACCAGCUUGCCAUGGUAAAACCCAUGACUAUCAGUUGGUCAGUGGAGAUUAUUUUUUUCCCAAUACCUAUACGAAGAAACUAACUACGAACAGUAGGAGAACAGUAGUCAGAGUUGGAAGAGAGCACCAUGUAAAGGGAAGUAACCAAGAAAUAACCUUAUUUGAGAACCUCCAAACUAAAACAUUCUCCCUUUCUACUCUGAUAAGGGAUGUGCCUUAGCUCAGUCUUGAGGACGGGAUAAUAGGGGUUCAGUGUAGCACCGGAUGUGUCAGAGUAGUCCCUAUAGAUGGACAAGCCAUUAGUCCAAUCAAGGAAGCCUGUCACUAUAGAGCUUUGUUUCCCAAUUGGGACUGUUAAUAAUAGCAUCUAGCCAAACAGCUGCAGAAGAAAGAACGACAAGCAAAGAGCGGCAGGGAAUAGGCCUAAAUUACUUUGUUAUUCGCCGAGAGCAGCUUCCAAACCUCAAAUCACUCUCCGAACUCCAUUACCCACAUUCCAGUUGGAUGAAUGGUAGCAAUACAGAAAACACUCUUCAUCCAAGCCAUUAAGCAGGAAGCAAUUUAAUUAGGCAGCCAUUUCUGAGGUUAAGCAAACCAAGCCCACUCACUCAGGCAAGUAAGCGAACCAAGGUUUAAGACAGUUCAGGAGUCAAUCAAGGGAGGAAAAUUUCUGACAUGUGAUAAAUACAGUUAAAAAAUUCCACAUCUCUGUCAAUUCCCAAUCAUGGAACUUCUAAGGAAUCUUAGCUUCCAAUACUGAUGGAAACAAGUGGCAGCCACCUUAAAAAGUUUAUCAGAGGCGCAAAGGAGUGGGCUCCAAGGCCCAAACUUUAAUUUAGCACUCUCUGGAUGAUAAUGGGCUUAGUUGGGAUCUUAUAUGAGUCAACAUGGGUUCAGCCUAGAAAGUACUUUCCAGAAAUUAAGUUACAGGCCUAGUCAAUGGUUUUAAGUUACCAUUUUCAGUCAUUAUUAUUGUCAUUUUCCAAUAGUAUUUACUGUGGUCAGUAAUCAGUCCAAGUUUUUUAUUUUCAAGUUACAUUAUUAUUAUGUGUCUAGUUCCAAGGAGUCAAAAAUCCCUAGAAAAGUCUUAUAUAGUAGUUGAUUAGUCUUUUGAGAGGAACCAAUGAAUGAAUGAAUUUCCAACAGCCACAAUUUUCUUUGUGUGAUACAAAGAGCACUUGGGUCUCAAGCCUAAAGGUUCUUUUAAUAUAUCAUCGGAAUUUAUCUAUCAAAAAAAGGAAACCAAAAGGUUUCUAGGAGUGAUUCCUAGGGUCUUUUCAAUUAUACUCUCCUUGCAUUUUACUUUCUGUACUGCAUCAAAUACCCAACCUCACUCUCCAAAAAAAACAAAUAAAUCACAGAAAAUGGCAUGUAUGUCAGCUGCCAUAGUAACAACAAAUCAAGCAAAGUCCACCACACCAUACAUCAAGCCAAAAGCUGGUCUUUUGGCCAUUCUCCAUAAAAUUGCUUCUCAAAACUUGAACACAUCCCAACCUUUUCUAAUUGCUUUCAAACGAGCCCUCCCCAAUGAACCACCAAAAUGAUUGUUUGCAUUAACACAAAUACUUUGCCAUGAAUGCUAUUAUUAUCAUGACAGAAAGUUGGAUCAAAAUGAAACAGAUCUUAGAAAGGAGAUUUGACAAAAUCAAGCAAAAUACUGGUCUUUGAUCAGAAGCAAAUGGGGAAAAGGCCCUAAUAUCAAAAUGAAUUUAAAUAAUGGUGAAUAAUGACACUAAAGAAAUUAAUAGGGAAAUUUUAGAAAGAGUAAAGACUACAGGUAUUAUCCAAAUGAUUGUAGAAAAUAAUAUUUAAUGACAUUCAAAGUUGAAGACCACUAAAACACAAACCCAAAAGAGUGAUCAUUUUGACAAAUGGCAUUAAGGAAUGAUGCUGUAAUUUGUCAAGAAUUCUUCCUACAUAGGUGUAAACUAUAUACUUCAUGUGUGAUUGGAUUGAUACCCUUUCACAGCAUCUUUCAAAAAAUGUUACCUGCCUAUCACUUAUCAAAUACAUAAUAAUAACUUUGUGAACAUUAAAAAAUGUGCAAAUUACCCAAGGGGAUCUGUUCAAAGAAAAGGUAACACAAACCAAGUUAGGUCAUUCUGUCUAAAAACAACAUAAACAGAAGCAGCCCUAAAGCAGAUAGACAUCAUAUGCUAACAGAUAAAACUCGGUAACUCACCCUUGAGUGCCAGCAACCUUGUACUUGUGCACAGGAAGAGCAUUUAUCUCUUCCUCGCUCAUUGAAGGAGUUGUAGGUACAUUCUCAGAAUCCAGUGCUCUCAAAGUUUCAUAAUCUGCAAAUAAUUUUUUUUUUUGAUAAGUAAAGUUUCAUAAUCUGCAAAUAGUAUAUCUCUAUGAAUAACUUCAUUUUUCAAAUAAUACAACUCCCCCCUUCCUUUCUUCCCCUAAAAGGGGAAAAAAGUACUAAAUAAAAGCUCAGGUUUCCAAAUUUAUUACCACAAUUUUUUGAAUCCCAAGCAUUGGAACUGGCAAGACAUAUAUGCAAUUUAAGUACUAUCUAUUAUAACUUUUAAUAUAUAUAUAUAUAUAUAUAUAUACAUAUACAUAUAUAUAUGCAUGUGUGUGAGAGAGAAAGAGAGAGAAAGAGGUACUGUACUAUAACUUAACAUACCUAGGUCAUCAAAUUCCCUGUCAAGAAGUGCAAGUUGGAGCCUAAGGCCUUGUAAACGCCCUCUUGUUGCAAGUGCUAUGGAUGGUGGCAUAUGCAACCGCAAUUCUGUGUGACCAAGAAGACCACUGGCUGCUGCAGCAUGAGCUUGUGCCUGAGCUUGAAGUUGCUGACAAGUUGCAUACAUCCUGAGGGUUGUGGCCAUCAGAAAGAUGCCAAGAACCAGCCAGAUCUACAAACAUUGGUUAAGAAGGCCCUUUAAAUGGCAUGUGCAACAAUUUAAGCUGAAGCAUUGCUAAGCACAAGGGUAGAUACUCCCCAAGCACAAACUCAAUGAAAGAAAAUACCAGAAAGUUAGGUGACAUCUGGUGUGAGUUUAGUAUCAUGAACAGCAAAAGAACUGUUGAAUCAGACAAGUAAAAUGUGGAUUAGAAUGCAUUUUGUUAGAAACUCAAACCACUUGUAAAAAUUAAAAAUUAAAAUAAAAAUAAAAAAAGGAGAGAGAACAUAAAAAAGAUAUAACUUUAAAAAUUAAAUAUUAAAAAGACCUGUGACCAGAAAAGCAAGCGAGUUGGUAUUAACAGGGCGAGCUGCAUGAACACGCUGAUGGACAACAGAAUCAAUUUAGAACAGAGUACUGUUAGAUUAUCUUACAAACCAUACAUCUGUGAUGUAAUUUCCAAAGCCUAGGAUACAUAGUACACCAAGUCAAAUUUGUGAAGUACAAGUAACAUACCACUGCACGCCUCUCAGGAAUAAAUCCUGGAAAUCCACUUUCUAUGUCUGCUCGACUCCCUCGAAAAACAAAACUCAUGGUUGCAGAAGUUUAUGGGUAGUUGACUAGAAUUUAAAGAAAAAAUUCAAUGAUUUGCUGGAUGUCCCAAUGAAAUAGAACAGGCCUAAAAUUAACCUUCAAUAAUCUGCAAAAUUUAAAAAUAAAAGGAAGGAACAAUUAUUCAACAAGCAAGCAAAGCUUAAUGAAAUUCAAGGCCUGCUACAACUGCUUAAUGUUGAAAUCAAAUAUAAAAAUAACAAUGACACUCAAUUUGAUAAGCUAAAAUUAACUGCUUUUCACAACUUUGUUCUAGUGAUGUAGAAGGGGCAGUGGCAAUUGCAAAUCUUUCCUUUCUCGACUUCGAAGAUUGUUUGGGUUGUGCUUCUCAGAAGCGUGUGGUCUCUUAUUUUAUUUUUUUCCUUCUCCUUUUUGGCCUUUGCAUCCCUUAUACACCUCCUAUGUACUAGGGUUAUGCCCCAGUGUUUCCAAUUAAUAAAUAUCUAUUUUUUCAAUUAAACUAGUAAGAAAAAUUAACCCAGAAGAGACCCUAGCUUGCAUGACCAGCACAAAAGGAGCACAAAAUAUUCUGAAAUGAUGAUUAAAAAAAAACCCAAAAAAAAAAAAAUAAUCUUUCAAAGCAACUACUUAACCUAAUAAGAGGCUUCAUAAAUGCAAAUGAGAAACUCAAACAAAUAUUGCAGACCAAGAUACCCACAAAAAGAACCCAACCAUCAGCCCCUAUUAUCAACCUUCACUUCUUUUUCCUCUCAUUUUUCCAAAUAAAAAUUGCUUACAACUAUGGCAACUGAAUAAUCAAUUAAAAUCACUUACCAUUUGUCAAGGAAAAUUUGUUUCAGCAAAAAAUGCCCAAUUUAAUUUAGAUUGCUUUUAGUUUGAAAAACAUUUUCUAGUUUUCAUUUUCUAACCUGUUUUUUAUUUUCUAGAAAAUAUAAUUAAUUAAGAAAAGUGAAAACUGUUUUUAGAAAAUGAAAUAUGUAAAAUCUUGUUUGGUUUCAGUUUUCACUAGAGUAAAAAAUGAUGAAAAAAAAUGUAAUUAAAACUUUAUCUAAUAAAAUUGCCAUGAUAUGAGUUAUAUUAUUAAAAGGUAAUAUAUAUAUACACACACAUAAACAUUAUAUGUAACCUUACUAUUAUAUUGUAUUUUUUUGUUAUUCUUUUUUAUUUUUUACUAUAUUUUUUAUUUUAAAAUAGUUUAGUAAAAUAUUCUAAUAUACUUAUAAUCAAUCAAAUAAAUUAUUUUAGUAUAAAAAUAUAUCCACUUAUAAUAAUUCUUAAUCUAAUAAAUAAAACAUAAUAUUUAUACCAUAAAUUUCAAAGAAUUUUUUUUUUUUUUUUUUUUUUGAUAGGCAAAAGCAGAAAUAUAUUAGAAAAGGGCACCAAGAGGAAAACCCAAUAGCAUACAGGGAGUAUACAAAAGGACCCUUAAGGCACACCCAAGAGAAGAGAAAAAACAAACCCAACCCUCAUCUAGCGCCUAGCCAAUCAAGAAAACUAGGUAAAGUGAGAGGACCUUCAUUUACAAUUGAUUUUGUCCACCCCCAAAGAUUACAAACAAAAGAAUUUUUCAACCUAUGAACCGAAAAGUCCUCAUUAUCGAAAGCAAUCCUGUUUCUUUCCAUCCAAACCUCCCAAAAGAGGCACAACGGGGCUGCCUUCCACACCUUUCUAUGCUUCUUACCCAACAUAAAGCCCCUCCAUUCAAUAAGGGUCUCUCUAGCCGAAGAAGGGAGGACCCAACACACUCCAAAAAGGGCGAACAAUAAUUCCCAUAAAGCUCUUACCUUGGAGCAAUGUAUAAGAAUAUGAUCAAUUGACUCCUCUUCCUCACAGCACAGAAAGCAUCUAUUAGCAACAGCCCACCCCCUCUUUUUAAGCUGAUCCAUAGUAAGCACCUUACCCCAAGAAGCCUCCCAAGCAAAGAAACUCACUUUGGAAGGCACACUAGGGUUCCAUAUCAAACCAUGAGGGAAAAGACCAGCUCUUCUUGAAGAUAGAUCAUUAUAGAGUGAUUUAACUGAAAAACUCCCAUUCGAAGUCACUUUCCACAUCAUUCUAUCUUCCAUAAGAGGACUAAGCCUUGCACCUCGGAUUGUCAAAAGAAGCCUCUCCACCUCCUCCACCUCCCAAUCAUUGAAGGGCCUAGACAAUCUAGGACUCCAAGCCCCUUCCACUCCCGAAGUGUCCCAAAACUCCUCUACCCAAGCCUCCUUAGAGGAAGCAAAAGCAUACAAUGAGGGAAAAGAAAUGCAUAAGGGGGAGUUCCCCCACCAUAUAUCUUUCCAAAAUUUUACCCUUCUACCAUUCCCCACUAAAAAAACGACUUUAUUUUGCAUAAGGGCACCUUCCUUCCUUAUUUCCUUCCAAAAUCCUACUCCAUAACUCUCCCUAACUUCUCUAGAACUCCAACCCCCUUCUUCCUCCCCGAACUUCCUACUAAUGACAUGCCUCCAAAAGUUCUCCCUUUCAAUCGCAAAACGCCAAUUCCACUUGCAAAGAAAGGCCCUACUAAGGAUGGAAAGGCGUCUAACUCCCAAACCCCCCUUCCUUUUAUCCAUGCAAACGGUAUCCCAAUUAACUAAGUGAGGCUUCCUCUCCAAAGCACCCCCUCCCCACAAGAAAUCCCUUUGAAUUUUCUCCAACCUUAGACUAACCACUCUUGGCAUUCGAAGUAAAGACAUCAAGUAUAUAGGCAUACUUGACAAUGUACUCCGAAUUAGAGUAAUUCUCCCUCCUUUGGAAAUAAAUUGCCUCUUCCACAAGGCCAGCCGUUUCCGAAAUCUCUCUUCCACCCCAUCCCAAACAGCCACAGACUUGUGGUUCGCCCCCAAAGGGAUCCCCAAAUAAGAAGAAGGCAGCCUACCCACUUUACAGCCAGCCUUAAGAGCCAAAUUCUCCAAAUUCUCCACUCUACCAACCGGUAAAAUUUCGUUUUUGUCCAAGUUGAUUCUCAAACCUGAUAUGGCUUCAAACCACAUCAACAACCAGCUUAAGUGGACCAUCUGAUCUUCAGAAGCUUCACAAAACACUAACAUGUCGUCGGCAAACAGCAAAUGAGAGACUAAAGCCCCAUUCCCACCCCUUCCAUCAACCCUACAGCCUGAUAGGAACCCUCCCCCCACUGCUCUAUGGAUCAGCCUGCUAAGGGCCUCCAUUCCUAUCACAAAAAGGUAAGGGGAUAGGGGGUCCCCCUGACGCAGCCCCCUUGAACUGUUGAAGUAGCCUUCCGGGGUGCCAUUGAUCAAUACUAAAAACGUUGCUGUAGAGAUGCACCAUGAUAUCCACCCAAUCCACUUCUCCCCAAAUCCUAUGCUUUGCAAUACAAACAACAAAAAAUUCCAGUUUAUGUGAUCGUAUGCCUUCUCUAAAUCCAAUUUACAUAACACCCCACUCUCGUUUCGUUUCAACAGAGAAUCUAUUGCCUCAUUGGCAAUAAGGGCAGCAUCAAGAAUCUGUCUUCCUUCAACAAAAGCGUUUUGAGCUGAAGACACCACUUUGCCCACUACCUUCUUAAGUCUGUUGGCUAACACUUUUGCCAACAGUUUAUACAAUCCGCCCACCAAACUGAUCGGUUUGAAGUCUCUAAGCUCCUCAGCGCCAGGUUUUUUUGGGAUUAGGACCAGGAAGGUCGAAUUUAGGCUCCUAACGAAUCUGCCACGCUCAUGAAAAUCUAACAAAAAACCCAUAAUCUCUUCUUUGACAACAUCCCAGCAAAAUUGCCAAAACCUAAUGGGGAAGCCGUCUGGACCCGGAGCCUUGUCCUCGUUCAGGUCUGAAAGAGCCUUGAGGACCUCUUCCUCUAAAAAAACCUCCUCCAAUCUAGCAGCAUCCUCAUCUCCAAUUCUAUUAAAGUCCAGACCUUCCAUAGAAGGGUGACAGCCCCCCGGGUCAGUCAACUAGUCCUUGAAAGCUCUAACCACACCCCUCUUUAUCUUCUGCUCCUCUGUUAACCAUACUCCGUCAACUUUAAUCUUGGACAGGCAGUUUCUCCUUCUAUGGGAGUUAGCCAUUUUAUGAAAAAAACCUGUGUUUCUAUCCCCCUCCCUUAGCCAAACUUCUCUUGAUUUUUGUCUCCAAGAAACCUCCUCCAUUAGAGCCCAUUUUUCGAAGUCCCCCUUUGCUACCUUUCUAGCUUCCAAUUCCUCCAAAGAUAAGGGGCGAAGCUUCUCCUAACCAUCCCAGAAAUUCACCUUGUCCAGGGCCACUUUCUUAUUGACACCCACCUGCCCAAAAACAUCCUUAUUCCACGACUUUAGAAUAGCCUUCAAAGCCUUCAACUUCUCAGCAAGGAUGAAGCUAAACGAGCCAUUAAAGCUUAGACUCUGCCACCACCCCUUCAACAGAUCCUUAAAUCCCUCCUCCUUAAGCCACAUAUUUUCAAACCGAAAAGGAACAGGACCUCUUCUAACUCCUCCCCCAUCCAAUAGAAUAGGGAAGUGGUCGGAUACAGGCCUAGGAAGAGUACACUGCGCCGCCCCCUUAAAGUGACCCUCCCAAUCCUCCAACACCAAGAAACGGUCUAACCUGGUCAUAGCUUGAUUGUUCAGACCUCCACUCCAGGUGAAUGGACCCCCCUGAAGGGGAAGAUCCCUCAAAUCCAAGUCAUCAAUCACUUCCGAAAAUCUUCUCAUUGAAGAAGACAAUCUUCCCCCUCUUCUGCUCUCAUUUGGAAACCUGAUUAAAUUGAAAGUCACCUCCGAUACACCAAGGAUCGCUCCAGAGACCGCGAAUGGCCCCUAGCUCUUCCCAAAACAGCUCUCUAUAUCUCUUUACCGUAGGGCCAUACACUCCUGAAAAAAUCCAAUUAAAUCCAUCUUCACAAUUCUUGAACCGACAGGAGACGGAGAAAAGUCCCACCUCCAUCCCUUCCAGCUCCAGCACUCUUUUGUCCCAAAAAACCAACACCCCUCCAGUUGCCCCUCUCGCAUUGAGAACUCCCCAAUCUAAGAAUCUCCCCACUCCAAGACUUCUCACCACCCCUAGAGACAUCUGAGACAUUUUAGUCUCCUGCAAGCAUACCAAAUCCACUUUUUGGGAUCUGAUUAAGGCCUUAAUUGAACUCCUCUUAUUUUUGUCAUUCACCCCCCAGACAUUCCAAGAUAGGAUUUUAAUCUUCAUUUAAGACAUAGAGCUCUGUCCUCGUUUCUUCUAUCCGAGCCUUUCUUCCUGCUUUCUCCUUCAUAAUUAAUCGACCAUUCCAGUUUUUUCACUUCCCUAUCAAACCUAGUCAUCCCUGAAAUUCCUUUCUUCUUGCCUUGAUCCCUCCUUGAUUUCAGCCUUAACAGUAAUUUAAGAACUUCCCCUUCAACACCAACUGUCGAGAAUCCCAAAGUCUUACUGAACUUAGCCAAGCUACUGUCAUCCCAACCGCUACCCUGGUCCUCUUCUUUCUCCAGAUCCUCACUCUCCUUUGACCUGAAUCCCCUGUUCUUUCCCCCCUCUGUACCCGUCUCCCACAGACUGCCAUCAGUCAACAACGCACGCAACGGAGCUUGAUACCCAACACCUUCGUCAAUAACUACCAGACCCCUAACACCCCCCACCACCAUAGCCCGAUCGCACCCAGAAAGAGUAGAAGAAGAGAAGUGGACCCGAUCCCCCCAAGAACAUCGAUAACGGGCUCAUACCUGGAUGCUUCAACUGACAGCGCUUCUUCAGUCAUUCGCGCUCUCGCCUUCGCCAUUAGAGACUCGAAAUCCCUCCAAUCUCCUCCUAGGAUGCAAGCGAUCCCCCCGUCCUCUUUAACUUGGCCACCCGAAGCUUCCAUCGAAGCCCUAAUCUCCAUCCCCCCGACCUCAGCACGAGGAGAAGCCCUAUUUUCUUUUAUCCCCCCCAACACCAGUUCGAAACCCAUGUCGGCCCUCCCUUCGCAGCCCGCGAUCGACCCCUUUAUGAGGAAAGGCCUUUCCUCGCAGCCCAUUACCCACCAUUUUAACGUGAUGGGCCUGGGCUCACAAUCUGGCCCAAACAUCUGGGCUCCCACAUAUUUUGACUUAAGACCACCCUCUCCAAUCCCGCUCCUGGCUUGGGCCUCCCAAUCGGGCCCAAAAACACAAGCAGCUGGCCCAGAUUUAAAACCUCCCAGGUUUGCUAACUUCCCUCCACCUCGACUGCUGAUCCCGCAGCUGUCUUCUCCAUCAGUCACCUCCUUUCUAGGCCCCCUUUCAGCCAACUCAUAUGGACAGCCUGAAACCCCUUUUGAAGAACUACCACAGGGCGACUCAACUACUCCCCUCUGCUCCUUCGGCUGUCCAACCUUCACGAGCACGCCUCCUCUACACUCAUCACGAGACCCACUCCCUGCAACUUCUACAGCCACUGCAUCCCCUUUCCCGAGAGCACUUCCCACCAGCACCACCUGAGAGAACCAAGGUGGGGAUUCCCACCACAGCUGGACUGAGAAGCACCCCAUCUCAUCCACAAUCUGGACGGAGGAAGGUGUGUCCCUGCCCGCCGAUUUCACCAACAUUCUAGCCCAUUGCAGCUCUGCCAUUGAUUCCGUCUUGUUGUCCACAGCAAUGAACCCACCACAACCAUCUCCUAUCAACUUAAACACCUCUCGAUUCCAUAAAUGAAGGGGAAGACCUACCACUCUCACCCAUACCUCGCUAGCAAAGGCACCAUUGCAGAAACACCCCACCUCCGGGUGCCAUCUUUCCAUCAUUAAAACACUGCCUAGAACCUUUCUCUUCCCUCUAGCAAGAACACGCUCGGCCUCACUCAUCUAUUCGAACUCAAAUAGUAUUAGCCCACCUCCCAUUACAGCUAUGUCCAGCUUGCCUUUGAGGAGCCAAGCGUGGACAGCCCAGUUUUUCAGAUAAUCCAACGCAGGAGGAUGGUUCUCCACCUUAUCCCAUCUACCCACUAAGCAACAACCCAGUUGCUCUAAUCUACCAAGCUUCACCCUCCUUCCUGCUUCCAGCCAAACCUUGUCCCCAAGUCUCCCCAAUCUCAGAUUUACUACAUCUGCAUAUGUCCUUUGAUCAGGCUCCUUUUCCUUCUUCAGCACNNNNNNNNNNNNNNNNNNNNNNNNNNNNNNNNNNNNNNNNNNNNNNNNNNNNNNNNNNNNNNNNNNNNNNNNNNNNNNNNNNNNNNNNNNNNNNNNNNNNUCCAGAUAGCCUCUUUCCUUCUGGAAAAAUUAAGCAAAACCUUUUUACCUCCAAAUCAUGAACAGAACAGAGAAUGAAUCUACCCGCCUCAUUUGUACGACGCUCCAAUCUAUACUUCCUUCCCUCCUCCUCCCAUGCGAGGGACCAAUUACUAUCAUCUCUAUCUCUACAGCAGGACUCCACUCCUACCAACAAACUACUGAGACUUGCAUCUCCAAAUCUGAUCCAAGAUGAUAGCCCUUUACAUCUCUCCCAAAUACAUCCUCUCAGCUUUCCUCCUACUUCAUCAAUCACAAGAUCAUAAGCUUUAGAUUCCACAGUAAACCGUCUUCUACCUCCUCUAGACAUAACCUAUCUAAUUCCUUACAGGAAAUAAGCUUAUUGGUGGUGGUUGUAAAUAAUGAGCUUCAAAUGUGGAUAUCUUGGCAUUAUCCCAUGAUAUUUUCUGAUAUAACAGUUCCAGGACAACUCAUUGUUUUCAAUUGCAAUGACUUUCAAAGAAUAUUUUAUUUCAAAUAUCUAUGAGAUAAUGUUUUAUUCAUACUAAUAUUUAUAUUCCUUUUAUAUCGUUGGUCUGAUAAGGUCUUUUACGUGUUUCAAUUCCCUUUUUCUUUUUCAACUUUUUUGAAAACAAUUUUCACUUUUCUUAAGAAAAUUUUGAAAACACCAUUUUCACUUUUUCCAUUUUCUAAGCUCCAUUUGCUAGAAAAUGAAAAUAGAAAAAUAUCAUCCAACCAUGUUUUCAAACUUGAUUUCUGUUUUUUUUUUAAUAAAAAAAUAAAACAAUCCAAAUAAAUAAGGCUCAGUUUUUCCUCAAAGAUUAAGAAAAAGGAAUAAGAACCUAGGAAUUUAUUAUUAAUCACUCUCGGUUUUGUAGGAGUCCCAAUAUGUCUUACUACAAACUUUGAAAAUUAAAUAGCCUCAGCCCAAGCCUCUGCUAUCACAUAUUUACAGAGAAACAAAUUUGGAGUGUCAAACACAUCUAAACUCAUAUCCAUGUCAUGUAAUGUCAACAAAUGUACACAUCCCCAUACCCCUGCUACAGUUAUGCCAAACACAUCCCAGACCCAUGUCACAUUAUGUCUCUCACAUUCCAUACCAGUACCACCACCAUAGCUCAUCGGCAAAUCUGAGGCACCUACCCACCCUCCCAGUCCCACUUGUAAGCUCCCUUCUUAAUGAAUGUCCUUAUUUUCUCUCCAACCCCACUCCCCCCAAACCAGUGUAACAAAGACAAAUAGAAGAGGAACUGUAUCUGUGUCCAUGCACAAAUAGGAAGAACCGGAUUAAAAGGUGAAAGCGAGCUCGACAAUGUUCUUUGUCUUUUAUUCUGGUGGGGAUGAUGAGAGUGGCAGUCGGGUGGGCAUCAGGAGAAUUAUAUGAUUUACUUAGAAAAAGACUGCUUUUGUGGAGAAUUCAAUGUUUUAAAAGGAUUCAUAUGCGACAUUUCACAAUGUGGAGCUUUCUUAAAAUAAAAUAAAUCAAAAUGAAGGGGGUUUGAUAAAAAAUGCAAUCAAGUGAAGACGAAGAAAAGAUGCAUUUGAGUGAAGGAGUUCAAACCCUCUCUCUCACAUGGACUGAUGCAAGUAAAACACAUGCAUGUAGUUGCACUAAUUUCUGACACCCACUCUCAUUCCAUCACAAUUGCAUCAGAGAAAGACAUAGCACAAAUCUAGUCUAUUCCAGUAGGCAGAUCGACAAUGCAAAAGAUCAGCCAAAUUAUUUCUUUCAGCGUGUCACUACUAUGACAUGUGCUAGUGUUUCUCCUUUUGGAUGAUUGAAAUUGACUCAUUGUACUUCUGCAUCAGUGCACCGUAUUUGUGGAGUCAUCUUCCUUUCAUAAUGAUCACAAAUUAGCAUAGAGUAGAAGUUCUUAUUUUAGAUAAUCUCAUCAAUGUCUAAUUUUUUUAAACAUAGAUGCGUUCAAUUUUUCUCUGAUAAGGGGAAAAAAUGCAAACAAACAAACAACUUUGGUUUACCUCCAAGAACCACACAAAGAUUUCGCCAAAAAAACCCUAAAUCCCAAAAUCAUAUUCCUGCCUUAAUUGCAUAAAAUGAACAUACAUUUCUUUAUUUUCCGGAAUAAAAAACUAAGAACAAAUGUCACAAUUUCUCGACCUUGAAUAAGCAAACCCUAAUGCUCGUUUGGCUGCUAAAGAAAUCCUUGGAAUAGAAAGGAAAACAAAACUAGAGAUCUUACAAAAAGGCAUACCAACAACAAUAUGUUAUGAAUGUCAAGAUUUUCGCUCUGUUUUCCCACGGUUUCUCCGAAACCAAACGGAAUCGUAAAGCAACCAAAGGGCAGAGAAAUUCAGAAGCGAGAGGGAGGAAUGGAGACUUACAGAAUCAGAUCGAACCAAUAGAUCAAACACUUGAAUGUUGAAUUGAUCACUGUGGACGUUCCGAGUUGACACGGACGAGUUAGCGUCGAGUUUCUUCUUUCUCCUCCCCCGGAUUGAAGCCGAACGCGAUCUCCGUAAGGUUGUCGGAGUUGUGUUGGUGGUAGUUUCACUCGUAUCUCUCACGACGACGUCGUUUUAAGAAUGCCUAGUUGCCUUGCCACUAAAUUUUAUUAUUUUAAAUGAAAUCUAUCUAUUAAUUAAAUGGGCAAUAUGUUGAGAUGAUGUCUAUCCUGUUUUGAUUCAUUAAAUUCAUCAUAUGAAAUCUAAAGUCUAAACUAAAAUAAUGAUAGGUAACACUACAUUCCUGUCUUUCUCAACAAGGGUUGUAUAUUUUAUAGUUGACAAUUGCUUUUGAAAAAGAAAACCAAAAUUAAAAAUUAUAUUAAAAUAUUAGUGGGAUUAUGAUAUAAAACUUCAAUAUGAGUUUGAUAAAAUAAUUUUUCUUAAAAUAAAAAAAGAUUUAAUAUUUAGUAUAAAAAAUCAUUAAUAUUUUUUUAUUUUGUAAUUUUGUUCAAAUAUAUAUAUUUUACUUAAUAGAUUGUAAAGUUUGAAUUAAUUUUAUUGCACUUUGUUCAAAAUGGUGGAAAUUAAGUUGUCUGAUUAAUUUGACUCCCACGAGCUAAGUAAGCACCUUAAGGGGGCUAAAGGGACAGUGUCUUUUGAAUAAAUAUUUAUUUAUUUAAUAAUUAAUGAGUGUGACCACGAUUGAAUCUUGUUAUAUAUAUAUAUAUUUUCGUGUAUAUGCUUGGUUUGAUUAACAUUACCCGAGUCGUUAGCAUAACUCAUGCUUGAAAUAAGGCAUUGCAUAUUUCAAAUUUUAAUUAAAAAAAAUGGUUUGACUAUAAUAUCAAAGUAUACUUUUUCAGUAUUUAUUGAAAAUACAUUACUAGAUUGAAUAUAUUUUCAAGUCUUAUUAUUUAUAUCAGAAUCUCAUUUGUUUGUAAGAUUGUACAUAUUUUCAUUUGUUGAUAACAUCCUAAAUCCCACCAUAUAUGCUAAAUAGUUCAGAUUCUUUAUUAUGUAGGCACCGUUAAGACACCAUAGCAUUUUCUUUAAAAACAUCAAUAUAUUUUAUUAUAACUUUUUAAAAAAUAAAAAGAAAAACGAAAAGAAUUUUCCCCUAACUAUAAUGAAAUAAGGUUCACAAAAAUCCUGAUAUAUAUAUAUAUAUAUAUAUGGAUUUAACUAAACGUAAUUUUAUAGAAUUUAAAUAAAUAAAAUUAACAAGCAAAUAAAUAAAUAUUUAUAAAAUAUAUUUAAUAAAAAUAAUUAUCAAUUUCUUAUUAGUUUUGGUUCAUUCACUGAAUUAAAUUUAACAUUUUCAAAAUUUCAUUUGUUUAUAUGAUUUUUUUUAUAACUUUGUUUUAAUAAAUAAAAAAUUUUGCACAUUUAUAUUUGAUAUUUUAUUAAAUAUUUUUUUUAAUCAUGGUUUAUAUUGAUUUUGGGAUAGUUAAAUAUUUUGGAUUUUGAUAUUUAAUUAAAUAACAUAAUUCAUAAUGACACCUAAUUAUUAAAAUUAUUGAUAAUUCUCAAUUAAAAAACUUCAUCCCCAUCAACCAAUUUAUACUAGUUAUUUAAAAUUUUUAGUUGAAUGUUAUGUUUGGUUUCGGAAAAAUAAAAAAAAAAUGUAAAUAUAUAUAUAUAUAUAUUUAUAUAUUUAAAGUUAAUAAACUAUUUUUAUUCAUUAUUUUAAAUUUAUGCAUAUAAACAUUUUUUUUAUAAAAUAAUUAAAUAUAAGAAAAUUAUUUUUUUUAAUUUUAUUUUGAUUCCUUAGUAUUUUAAUGGGAGUCAAACAUGACAUAAGUGGUUGUGUUGAAUAAUUUGAUACAUAAUAUAUUGAUAUUUAUUUUAAAUUUUCGGUACUAUAAACUAUUUAUUUAUUGAAUAUUUUUUAUAAUAUUCCCACUUGGCCCCCACGGCAAUUUCUGACUUCCCCCCCUCGAGCUGAGCUAUGCCAGUCUAAGGAAUUGAAUGGAUAGCCCAUAUAGUGCCAAAUUUCAAUUAUUCGCACCUCAAACAGGGGACUCGUUUUCUAGGGCACCACCUAAAUUCAUUAUUCAGUGCUUUGAUUUCACGUUCACCUGUCUCUUCUACGGUUCUACCUCCCUCGCUCUCAAGUGUUGUCCCCAGCAAUGUACAAGUCAACAAAAUCAGAAAAAAUAAAAAAUAAAAUAAUAAUAAUAAAUAAAAGAAAAUAUCAGAAUUGGGCAAAAGCAAAAUCAUCCUGUGUCUUCCACCUAGUCAAAACCCGAAAAACCAAAUCGUCGGGUUAUGGCCAGCUGUUUCCUGAUCUUUGGACAGGAAACCUUUAUAGAGAAACGUAAAUGAUGACACGAUGGCCAGUUUCAGAAACUUUGCGAAGUUUAGUUUUUCCAUGAACUGGGUUUUUUACUUUGUUCUGCCAACCACCAGCUCAGCAUCUGCGCUCCCCAAAUUACCAAAUUUUAAGAGCUCGGACAAAAACGGAUGCAACUUGCCUUGAUAAUAUUGACCUUCCGCCAUUGGUAAACUGACAGAGAUGUGGGUUUUGGCAUUUGGUUGGAUAAAAUACAAGAAAAUUUGCAUUACAGUUGGCUAUGGCUGAAACUAGGAGAUGAUCCCAAAAAUGCUAAUAAAUGUGGGCGAGGGGGGGCCCGUGAGGGUGUGGCUGCGAAAUGUGAGAACAAAGAUUUGGUUCACCUGCUCUCUCAAAUUGCAUGAUUCUCCAAUUGAAAAUUCCAAUCAAGACAGACGAAAUAGUAUCCUUUUCUCAUUAAUGCAUCCUAUACACGUGCUUUGCCAGGGGCGACCCACUCCAUGGGUCCCACCUUCGAUUCAAUUAUUCAUCAUAUGUUGUACACAGUGUGGGAAUGGGCGAUCCCACGGUCUGUAUUGAAUCAAAAUUCAAACGUAAGUCCGGUGGGACACUGUACGGCGGCACUGGAAAGUGCCAGCCUGGUGGUCAGCACUAUGAGCAGAGGUCAAACUUUUUUUUUAUUCCAUGAGAUGAAGCUCGAUGGCCCACUAGUGGACCACCGUCGAACCACCAUGGAACACGCCCCACCAGAUCGAGCCGCCAGAAGCCAAAUACGGUGGAUCCCACCACUCAACUGCCUUGCAAAAUAAAUCAAGAUUUUCCCAUCUGGCAUCAACUAUUAUAACAUGCGUUAAGACGAUACGAUACCCCAGUAGUUGACCAAACGCAUGUCAAAACAAGUGGAAAUAAAAACAAAAAAUUUAAAUGAAAAACCAAAAACUUCCUUUGGCAAAAAAUAAAAAAUAAAAAAAUUUGAUCCAUAAAAAUUACAAUGAAAAAGGAUAUAAAACGGAAAAAAUCAAUGUAUCUUUUAAAACUAUUUUCUAUCGUAAUAUUUUUAUCUUAAAAAUUUUUUUUUAAUAAUUAUUUUGAAAAUUUAUUAUUUUUAAAUUAUUUUUUAUAUAAAUAUUUAAUUUUUAAAUAAUAAUAAUUUAUUUUUAUUUUUUAAAAAAAUUAUAUAUAUUUUUUCAAAUCACUAAAUUUUAUUGAAAUUUGUUAAAGAAAUAAAAUUUAAAUUAAUAUUUUUCUAUUUUUUUUUCAUCAGGUCAUUUUUAAAAAAAUAAAAAUUUCACAUCUUUUUCAUUCUUUCUCUGGACCUUCGGUCUUAAAUAAUUAACUUAUAUAAAUAAAAACUUAAUUUUUAUAUCCAAUUAAUCCAAAACACGAUUUUCCCAAACUUCAUUAUGAUCUUGGUAUGUACACCUUUGGCAGCUCAUCGGGCAAUACUGUCGAAUCAUGGGCCAUAUUCUUCUUGGCACUGGCCCAUGAUCCGUGACCUAAAACAUCAUAUUAGGAUGGCCAUGUACACAUAGCAACAACUUCAAACACCUAGACACCUACUCCUAGUCGUUGACCAGCUAGAUCGCACCUAACCUCUGCAAAUCCAACCCUUGAUUUUGCCAGAUCGAACUCCAUCCACACGUUCUGCUGAUGAUGAUGCCCAAUGAUGUACGACUCCACACCCAAUAGUUCAGAGUUACCAAACGUAAAGCAGUACACUGAAUCACUUCCCCUUAUCACGCCCGGUACCCGAUACAUUAACCUUUCGGCCGAUACGCUCAUUUCGGCCCCCCGAAACAUCAGUGUCACGGUUGGCAAAGGAGGCAAAGUCCGACGCGUCAGGGGAACUCGGUAGCACAAGUCCAUUGCUCCUUGGAAUACGAAGUUGGGGUCUUCCAGAACUUUCAACGACGCUUUUGUCUGCCUCACGAACUCGUUCUUCAAAGCGGUGUAAACCGGGCCCAGAAGGAACGUGAACUGAGUUCCGGAGUCAACCAUAGUUUGACCCGCUCCGGUAUGGUCCGGUGCAUAAACCGAUUUUGGCAACUGUAGCAUCGAAUUAGCUACUUUAAUACCCUCAAGCUGAACCGUGUACGCAACUCGGUCGAAGUACGGCAACGGAGUCGAUAUUUGAACUAGUGGAGUGUACUUUAAGGCCUUGAGCCACGAAAAACUCGAUUCUCCGAAGAGUAAGAUACCGGAGGAGUCCUGGCCCGAUAUGCAGUAGGAAAAUUUCUGCAAGCCCAUCUGGGUAACGAAAGAGAGAGACCCCCUAUUCAUACCAAUCAAACCGGUAGUCUUGGAAUCUUCAUCCGAGUUACUACUAAACCCAGAAUCCAUGCACCCGAAUAUCGUGGCGGGUAUGGCCGAAUUUCCGAUAUGAAAAGUAUCGGAGGCAAGGUUGCCUUCAAUGGAGGAGGCGUCGGCGUAGGAGAUUAUGGCGUGACAGAGCUUUUUCUUGUCGCAAGAAACGGGUAUGGAGAAGUCACGGGUCCGGGUUCGGCAAGUGGGUGAAGUACAAGGAAUAGGUGAAUAUGAGGAAGAGCGAAGUGGGUCAAAAACAGAGUGCAAGUUUGGGGCUUUUUUGCAGUGAAGCCAUGAGAGCUCGCUUCCAGUGUCAAGAACCAUGGUGACGGUUUGUGGAGGAGAGCCAACUGUGAGUGAGACCGUUAAGGACACGUUGUGGUGGAAAGAGAGCUUGCUAGAAGGUCUAGGAACUGACCCAGAAGGAAGGACCUGCGUUUUAAGGGGUAAUAUAACAGCUGGCGUUGAAGCUAAGCAGAGGGUGAAGGAAAGGAAGAGCUGAGAGAGAAGAAGAAGAAGAAGAAAAGAGAGCAUGGUGGAGAUGAAGAGUCCCAUGCGAAUGAAUGCGGAACUGGGUGUGAUGUAGAACAGAGUCUGGCAAGGCUUUUGGGUUUCAAAUAUCAGAGGGACGGGAACUCAAAGACUCCGCUGUUCGAUCAUCGAUGUGUGUGGGUCUCUGUCCUUGUCGUGGAGACUGGUGCUCCACUUUUAUAGAUAGGUUUGAUUCUAUACGCUUACGUGUCUACAUCUUCUUCAUAGGCCAUACACACCGUCUAUUUAUUACUUCAAUGACUCAAAAUCUCAAAAAAAAAAUAAAAAAAAUAAAAAAUAAUUUCAAUUAUCUCCACCAUAGCAAACAACAUAAAUUCCAUUUUCUAAUUUUAACAAAUUUUAAUGAUUCAAUAUUAUUUCAAAAUGCUUACACUAUCUUAUAGACGUGAUAAAGACAUUCUAAGACGUAAAAGUUUAUUAAACGUAAGACAGAAAAAAUCGAUUGGAAAGCAUUUGAAAGACAUGAUUAAAACUUUACUUAGAAUACUUCUCUUUUCUACGCUUAUUCUAUUAGUGUUGAAUAAAUCAUCUUUCCACUCUCUGGGGCAAGAAAAACAAGGGCAGUGGUGUGGCGGUGCGACCACACUAGUGAGCACUUAAUCAAGUAAUCACUAGACCAUAAACCCCCAAAGUGUGUUUUGGGGUUUAGCCAAUGUCGGUGAAGAAUAGUUGCGCACGCAGACAUGUCCCUUUUGAAAGUGGUAUGUGGAAGGUAGAACUGGGGGACAGAGGAAUGGAAAGUAUUAUGAAAAGCGAGGUGUAUCUGCCAUCUACCCAUUAACCUACCACUAAAAUCCAUUCCAUGGCGAUAAGCAUCACAUUUGUAGAGGUGAUUGUGACUCCAUAAUUAAAUAAGGAUUUGAACUUUCCGCAAACAAGGAAAAUUGUGACUCCUCUGCCCCCCCUGGCAGCUGCCAUCUCUUUUGUUCCUAUCAGUCUAGUUAUCCAAGUUGUAAUCACUUGUUUUCUUUUUGUUAUUUGUCUUAUUUUAUCUUUUCAUAUAGUCAUAAUGAUUCUCUUUUCUUUUCUUUUUUUUCCUUUUCUUUUUCUUCACUUUUAAAAAAAAAAAUUAAAUUCAAAUUUUUAUUUUCAUUUCCCUUGCUUUACUCCAAUUCUUAGGUAUCAAUCAAUGAAUAUAUACCAAACAGAUGUCAAGGAAUUAUACCCACCUUUCAUAUUUGUGACCACACCAAGAAACACAAAUU